UACGUAGGGGCUAGCGUUAUCCGGAAUUACUGGGCGUAAAGGGUGCGUAGGUGGUUUCUUAAGUCAGAGGUGAAAGGCUACGGCUCAACCGUAGUAAGCCUUUGAAACUGGGAAACUUGAGUGCAGGAGAGGAGAGUGGAAUUCCUAGUGUAGCGGUGAAAUGCGUAGAUAUUAGGAGGAACACCAGUUGCGAAGGCGGCUCUCUGGACUGUAACUGACACUGAGGCACGAAAGCGUCGGGAGCAAACAGGAUUAGAUACCCCGGUAGUCCCUGAGCGGG
rnacentral:rRNA from 1 species